AAAGAAUCUCAUUUUUAGACUGAUUACUGUAGAAUAACAAGUAUAAGAGCACAGACAAAGAUGUGAAUUCUACUUAACUCAAAAUGUAUCCAUACCAUUGUCUGUACACAUUUGAGUAAUACCCUUUCAGCCAAUGUUCUUACAUAACUUUUACAUUGUAUGUAUUUUAUUCCAGGAAACACUGGUGUUGCAAUCAUGGGCAAGACUUCCUGGAUAACUACUGCCCCCCACCAGAAACACCCAACUCAUGCACUCAGCUAAGAGAGAACAAUGGAAAAUAAAGUUAAUCCCAGCAACAUUUGAACUCAGAACAAUAUACUUGGUCAACAAGUUUGAAAGGAAAUGGCUUGUCAAUGUCAGUGAUCCCAACACUUCACAGAUACUUUAUAUUACCAACCUCAAAAAGCAAAGUUGAUUUUGGCAGGAUUUGAAUUCAGAAUGUAAAGAGCUACCGCAAAUGUCAAAGUAAUUUUACUGAUGUUUAGAUGAUUCUACAGAUACACUACCUUAAUAAAAACUAUAUACAUAAUGAAAAUUUUUUGAGA
rnacentral:lncRNA from 1 species